GGUAAGAUGGCCGAGUGUCUAGGCGGUAGGCUGUAGUCCUACAAACAGAGGUUUAACUCCUUUUCUUAUCA
rnacentral:tRNA from 1 species